UUUGAAAACAUAGAGCAAAGCAUCAAAAGAAACCAUAUGAUAUAUUUUUCCAUGAACUCUUUUUACGUGUUGUGUAAUGACUUCAUUUACUAAUGAGAAAAGUUAGUGUGACAGCCUAUUCCUCAGAAAAACUGCUAUUUUAUGAUAGUAGCUAUUGUCUGAACAUCGAAAGUACAUUUUCCUGAGGAGGAUAUCUGAGUCUCCCUUUCUGUCCAGAUGGGUGCCACAGUUUUUCAUGACAUUGUGAUUCAAAUGUAUUAAAAUGUUCUGCAUGGUUUUAUCAAUUUGCUUUUGUUAUAUAACUUUUAGUUUAUUUUUGCAGCUAACAAAAUCUCUAAUGAAUCAUUAACCUGUGAACAGUAUAUGGUCUUCCUUGUGUAACUGCAGAUAACUUGAUCAGAACUAUAAUAAAAAUUAAUGUUUUUC
rnacentral:lncRNA from 1 species